AUUGAACGCUGGCGGCAGGCCUAACACAUGCAAGUCGAGCGGAUGAAGGGAGCUUGCUCCUGGAUUCAGCGGCGGACGGGUGAGUAAUGCCUAGGAAUCUGCCUGGUAGUGGGGGAUAACGUCCGGAGACGGGCGCUAAUACCGCAUACGUCCUGAGGGAGAAAGUGGGGGAUCUUCGGACCUCACGCUAUCAGAUGAGCCUAGGUCGGAUUAGCUAGUUGGUGGGGUAAAGGCCUACCAAGGAGACGAUCCGUAACUGGUCUGAGAGGAUGAUCAGUCACACUGGAACGGAGACACGGUCCCGACUCCUACGGGAGGCAGCAGUGGGGAAUAUUGGACAAUGGGCGAAAGCCUGAUCCAGCCAUGCCGCGUGUGUGAAGAAGGUCUUCGGAUUGUAAAGCACUUUAAGUUGGGAGGAAGGGCAGUAAGUUAAUACCUUGCUGUUUUGACGUUACCAACAGAAUAAGCACCGGCUAACUUCGUG
rnacentral:rRNA from 1 species